AAGCAUGAAGUGGACGCUUCCUAAGUAACUCCUUAAACCUUUCCCAUAUUUAAUAGAUAGACUCCCCAUCUAAUAGAAUAAAUUAUGUGAUAUCAUUUCUAAGCUU